UACGAAGGGGCUAGCGUUGCUCGGAAUCACUGGGCGUAAAGGGUGCGUAGGCGGGUUUUAAGUCAGGGUGAAAUCCUGGAGCUCAACUCCAGAACUGCCUUUGAUACUGAAGAUCUUGAGUCCGGGAGAGGUGAGUGGAACUGCGAGUGUAGAGGUGAAUUCGUAGAUAUUCGCAAGAACACCAGUGGCGAAGGCGGCUCACUGGCCCGGUACUGACGCUGAGGCACGAAAGCGUGGGAGCAACAGG
rnacentral:rRNA from 1 species